UACGUAGGGUCCGAGCGUUGUCCGGAAUUAUUGGGCGUAAAGAGCUCGUAGGCGGUUUGGCGCGUCUGCUGUGAAAACCUAAGGCUCAACCUUGGGCUUGCAGUGGGUACGGGCAGGCUAGAGUGCGGUAGGGGUGACUGGAAUUCCUGGUGUAGCGGUGGAAUGCGCAGAUAUCAGGAGGAACACCGAUGGCGAAGGCAGGUCACUGGGCCGCAACUGACGCUGAGGAGCGAAAGCAUGGGGAGCGAACAGG
rnacentral:rRNA from 1 species